AUCUUCAGGGCGGGGUCAGAUUCCCCACCGGUGGUAAAGCCCACGAGCGCAUAAGCUGCAUGAUUCGGUGAAAUUCCGAAGCCGACGGUAUAGUCCGGACGAAAGAAGAG
rnacentral:ncRNA from 1 species